rnacentral:rRNA from 1 species
AUGGCGAGCAAGUCCGGCAGCGGUGUGGCGGACGAUGGCAGCUACGAGUACGAGGAGGAGUCGGUGCAGACCGCCCGCGGGAUGAAGCUCUUCACCUGCAGAUGGCUCCCCCCCAAGGGCCAGAUAGUCAAGGCCCUCGUCUUCCUCUGCCAUGGGUACGCGGUGGAGUGCAGCGUGACGAUGCGGGGGACGGGGGUGCGGCUGGCGCAGGCCGGGUACGCCGUGUACGGGGUGGACUACGAGGGCCACGGCAAGUCGGAGGGGCUCCAGGGCUACAUUCCCUCCUUUGACCUCCUCGUCAGCGACACGGACGCCUUCUUCACCGCCGUCGUCGCCUCCACGGCCAACACGGACCUCCCCCGCUUCAUCCUCGGCGAGUCCAUGGGCGGCGCCGUGGCGCUGCUCCUCCACCGGAUGCGCCCGGCGUACUGGACCGGCGCCGUCCUGGUCGCCCCCAUGUGCAAGAUCGCUGACGAGAUGCGGCCGCAUCCGGUGGUGGUGAGCGUCCUCAAGCUGAUGACCAACAUCAUCCCCACGUGGAAGAUCGUGCCGACCACGGACGUCAUCGACGCCGCCUACAGGAUGCAGGAGAAGCGCGACGAGAUCAGGAACAACCCCCACUGCUACCAGGGCAAGCCGCGCCUCAAGACCGCCUACGAGCUCCUCAAAGUCAGCCUCAACCUCGAGAACAACAUACUCUCAAAGGUGUCGUUGCCGUUCCUUAUCGUUCACGGAGGCGACGACAAGGUGACGGACCCGUCGGUGAGCGAUCUCCUCUACCGGUCGGCGGUGAGCCAGGACAAGAAGCUCAACCUUUACCCGGGCAUGUGGCACGCCCUCACCUCCGGCGAGAGCCCUGAAAACAUCCACACCGUCUUCCAAGAUAUCAUCGCAUGGCUCGACCAAAGAUCAUCCCCGAAAUCAUCAUCGUCGGCGGCCGCCUUGGACUUGUCAUCGGAGAUGGAACAGAAGGCCAAGCACGACGAGCAGAAUUUCGACAAGCAAUAG